CGUGCAUUGUAUGUAGAGGACCAAUAAUAUACGUGCAGAAGUCCAAUACGUUUAAGUUUUCGCGAAUUAGCCAUCCAUAUGAAGAUUAUUUAAGCACUACAGGUGACUCAUUGAAAUACAUUACAAAAAGGUUUAUAUCUUUACACAAAGAUAUUACAGGUAACCUAUUUGUCGGCCAUACGUAACAUUUAGGGCGGCUACAUGUACCUUCUUGGGUAGUUGCAUUCAGCCUAUCAGACAGUUACAGGUAACUUAGAUAUAGGCAACUUAUAUUGAUUGACAGCUAUUUCUAAGUAUUGAGCGACUACAAGAGGCUUAUUUGACAGCAACAUGUAACUUAUUGGACGGCUACAGGUGACUUAUUGGACGGCUACAGGUAAUCUAUUGGACGGCUACAGGUACCUUAUUGGACGGCUAUAGGUGACUUAUUCGACUGUAACCCUGGUAGAUACUAGCCGCAAUAUACCGAUCGGCUAGAGAUAUCUUCUCUUUAGCUCGAUCGGUUGAGCGUAAGAAUAGCAAACCAGAGGUCCCGGGUUCGUCCCUAGAAGAGGCAGUGAUUUAAAUUUAAUUGAUCAUGCGCUCUGUUACACGACGGCUAUAGGGGACUUAUUGGACGUUAACAGUUAACUUAUUGGACGGCUACAGGUGACUUGUUUGACG